rnacentral:rRNA from 1 species
GGAGAAAAGCAGGGGAUCGCAAGACCUUGCGCUAAAGGAGCGGCCGAUGUCUGAUUAGCUAGUUGGUGGGGUAAAGGCUUACCAAGGCAACGAUCAGUAGUUGGUCUGAGAGGACGGCCAACCACACUGGGACUGAGACACGGCCCAGACUCCUACGGGAGGCAGCAGUGGGGAAUUUUGGACAAUGGGCGAAAGCCUGAUCCAGCCAUGCCGCGUGAGUGAAGAAGGCCUUCGGGUUGUAAAGCUCUUUUAGUCGGAAAGAAAGAGUUGCAAUGAAUAAUUGUGAUUUAUGACGGUACCGACAGAAAAAGCACCGGCUAACUACGUGCCAGCAGCCGCGGUAAUACGUAGGGUGCGAGCGUUAAUCGGAAUUACUGGGCGUAAAGGGUGCGCAGGCGGUCUUGCAAGUCAGAUGUGAAAGCCCCGGGCUUAACCUGGGAAUUGCGUUUGAAACUACAAGAGCUAG